AGUCACGUGGUAGACGUGGUGCCUGGGAGCUGGGGUCAACGAGCGCUCAGUCUGAGAGAAAACGUGUUCCUUCCCUCUGAGACGUGUCCCGUGCUGGGCGAUGGCUCGCGGCAAACCUCCCCUCCCACAGGGAAGGAGCCCUGUGAGGCCUGGCCUGGGAGCUCUCGGGAGAGAAACACCAAUCUGGCUGAACGGAGACAUAAGCCUCUGUAAACUGAUUCUCCCUCCACAAAGGGGCCCUGGCCCUCACAGCCCCAUCCUCUUUCAUCCUUGCUGCCUGAUCCUAUGGAAGCUUUGCUCUGGUGGUGCCUGGAGCUGUGAUGUAUGCAGGCAUUUGAAACCCCAGCUUUGUGGAAGACACGAGACAUUGAUUUUUACUCUACCAUUUGGAGAAAAAUUAUUUUUAUAUUAGCACAAAUGUUGAUAGA
rnacentral:lncRNA from 1 species